AGUCGACGCCCUGGUUCGCCGGGAGUGGCGCACGGGUGAGUAACGCGUGGGAACCUGCCCGGCAGUACGGGACAACCGCGGGAAACUGCGGCUAAUACCGUAUACGGCCUGAGGGCGAAAGAGAUUCGCUGUCGGAGGGGCCCGCGUCGGAUUAGGUAGUUGGUGGGGUAACGGCCUACCAAGCCUGCGAUCCGUAGCUGGUCUGAGAGGAUGAUCAGCCACACUGGGACUGAGACACGGCCCAGACUCCUACGGGAGGCAGCAGUGGGGAAUAUUGGACAAUGGGCGCAAGCCUGAUCCAGCAAUGCCGCGUGAGUGAUGAAGGCCUUAGGGUUGUAAAGCUCUUUCGCCCGCGACGAUGAUGACGGUAGCGGGAGAAGAAGCCCCGGCUAACUCCGUGCCAGCAGCCGCGGUAAUACGGAGGGGGCUAGCGUUGUUCGGAAUUACUGGGCGUAAAGGGCGCGCAGGCGGCUGCUCAAGUCAGGCGUGAAAGGCCUGGGCUCAACCCGGGAAUUGCGCUUGAGACUGGGCUGGCUUGAGUGCGGGAGAGGAUGGUGGAAUUCCCAGUGU
rnacentral:rRNA from 1 species